rnacentral:rRNA from 1 species
AUCCGCGGUAGAACGUUGAAUACAAAAUUUCCUUUGGAUCACUGAAGUUAAGCAGCGUUGCGCGUGGUUAGUUUUCGAAUGGGUGACCAUCUAGGCAAUUGCGUGCUGCUGGCU